GUAAGUCUGAUCAAUUUUGGAUCAGGAGAUAAACCAGUUCUUCUAUGAUAGCUUUCUUGAGGGAUGGGACCUUCUGCCUCUCUCUGACAGCAUCCAGCACAGCGACUAUAGGAGUCACUCCUGCUAGUGCUGAAGAUAUUUUAUGCAUCCCUUCAACAUCUCCCAUUCACACGUGCCAGACACUGCGCAGAAGAUGCAAAGAUAAUGAAAGUCCCCAACCCCAAGGAACGCACAGUGUAGUGGGGUGGUAUUAAACAGAUGGCUACAGUAUCAGUAACUGAUGUAAAAGAAGCACCCACACAGUCAUAGAAAACCCACGGACAAAGCAGGGCGAUGAGGAAAACCAUCUAAAAGACCACCACACUGAGAUAAAGGCCCAGGCAGAGGACAGAGCUAGGAGAGGAAGCGGGAGAGUGGCGCAGCCUAAGGACUGCAAGCAUGGUGAGCCGGCCAAUCAGCGGUGGCGCUGUGGCGGCACAGGAGAGAAGCUAAACACCUUACUGACUGACUGCGAUCUUCUUCAGUGAAUUCCUGUGCUCCUUUAACUGUCUUGUUUCUACAACCUGUGCCCAUCUUCCUACCAGGUAGGCUUUUAAAAAAUAGUUUAUAGGCUUAAAUAUUUAAAAAACAAUUAUUAGCCUGCUAUACUGAUUUAUCUUUCCUUUAUCACUCAUUUUAAAAUUCAAACUACAUUCCUAGGAAAAAGAAUAUGAAUUUCAAAACUUGAAUGCAUCAAAGUAACAACCCCUUUUUCAAAUACGCUGGCUCAGAAGCACUGUCUUAGGGACAUACUCUGCAAAACGAAGGGGCUGUAGGUGCAGUGAACGCUUGAGUCACUUCCAAGGCCUCACGCUGGAGGUCCAGAAGCCUGGGAGCUUUAGAAUGGGUACAGCCACUUACUGGCGACCGCUCUGUCCUCAGUCUAAUACAAAGGAGUAAAAUGGGGUCUGGGACUAUCUGGGAAAAUGAAAACCCUAAGUGGCCUUCUUAGUGGAAAAUUCUCUCCUUAUUUAAUGAUCUCUACAUGAUAAAAUUAUAUAUACAUUAUAUAAUAAUCUACAUUAUAUAAUCUCUACAUUAUUAAUCUCUAAAGUUUUAUGGAAAGAAUUUAUGGGAAAAGAGAAAAAUUGGAAAAAGGCUAAUAACAAUAUUAAAAAUGGCUUUGAGUACAUGAAAUUGCUGUGGUAUAGAUGAAGUUAUUCACAUGGGUGUAUCACAUAUCCACAAGUUUCUUUUUGAAUCACCAUGUUUACUGGUAGAGGUGAUAAUGAUAACCUUUUAGUAAGCUUUUUUUUUUAAGCCAAGCACUACCCUAAACUCUUUAUGUAUAAUUAUCAAAUAUUCAAUCCCUUUGUAGUCUGCUCCCAAGGGACUGUACAGUUUUUUUGAAUCUUACUAGUAUUUUGUCGUAUAUGAUUGCUACAAUAAAUGGGCUACUGACUGAAGUCAGGAGAUGAAUGAAAUAGUACUUGUACUGAAACAUGAUACAAUCAAAGAUUUAGGAUUCUUUCUAAAAGAUGGUGCAGGUAAAAAGCCUAUCCACCACUGAAGGCAAUGGAAGGGUAUUAGGCGUCUGUGUGCUGUGAGAGAGCCUCCACUUCGGAGUCACAGAUGGCCAAAAGCCAUUCAGUAGGGCUGAGGACCUUAGAAGUCCUUUACUUCUACUUGGAUGUCUGUGGUGAUGAGAACCCACUAUACGGAGGCCCUACUUAUGUCGCUGGAUUCUGGGGAGUGUCUGUCUAAAGCCUGACAGGUGCUGCCAGUUCCUAUCCAUUUCUCCCUUAUUCCCUGCCCUCAAAUCUAAAAUAUAGUAACAUAAGGAUAAGCCAGGAAAUGAUGAAAGCAGGUAUGAUGAUGAAGUUCAAGAUGGGUUGGCCACUGUAAGCACACCUGCCCCAAGUGACAAGCACAAGUUCAAGAUGGGCUGGCCACUGUGAGCACACCUGCCCCAAGUGACAAGCACAAGUUCAAGAUGGGCUGGCCACUGUGAGCACACCUGCCCCAAGUGACAAGCACGGUAAAAAUGAAUAACACUUUCACUGAAGCAUGGCGUGUGGAUUAGAGGGCUGUAGCUAGUGAGAAUAUGGUUACUUAGCAUGAGUAAUUCUAGGUACUUUAGUAAUCCAAGUCCCCAUCCUAGGAUCUAAGAGCUCUGAGUGCAGAGGCACAGAUCCCUGUGACUCACUGGGUUACAGAGACAAGAGAUGGUUCCCCAGAAUCUCCUCUCUCAGCAGUUCAAGGAUUCAGUUUUCAUAUCUUAAAACUCCCAUGUCAAAAACGUAUGAAAAACUUAUCUUCUCAUAUUUAGACCAAAGACUUUGUAACUGCUAAUCAACAUCGGAGUUACAUAAGGUUAAGUCAGAUUCAGCCAAAUGAAGGAACAGACUAGAAGACAAGGUUCUCUGUUUAUUGGGCUAAACGGGGCAGUAAAUUGUGGCUUGUACCUCGCUUCUUAGAUCUGCUUCUGGAAUAAGCAGUUUAUUGACAGUUAUCACCACAUUGGCAGAGGUUUUGCAAAAAUGAAGGGCUCAAUCUUUCAGUAAACGCUUUCUUAAUUUUUAAUCUGACAUAGAAAGUUGAAGAAGUAAUCUAAAAAAUAGAAGGUUUGAGGAAUAGUGGUUCUUCCUAGAGACCAUAAAGAGCCACAACACAAAUGAUAGUGAAAAACGGGUUUCAAUUUCCAUUGAAAAUACUCUAAGAUACACAGGUUUGAGAAUUAUAUUUUUCUAAUUGUAACAUUUUGAAUUUCAUUUCAAUGCUGCUGUCCUAAGACAAGUAUGAGAAAUUAAUCCUAGGUCUCCACACCUUAAGAUACACUGUGUAAGGCCAGGCAUGGUGGCUCACGCCUGUAAUCCCAGCACUUUGGGAGGCCGAGGCAGGAGGAUCACCUGAGGUCACAAGUUCGACGUCAGCCUGGCCAACAUGGUGAAACCCCACCUCUACUAAAAAUACAAAAAUCACCCGGGCAUGGUGGCAGACGCCUGUAAUCCCAGCUACUGCGGAGGCUGAGGCAAGAGAA
rnacentral:lncRNA from 1 species